CAAUAGCGUAUAUUAAAGUUGUUGCGGUUAAAAAGCUCGUAGUUGGAGUUCUGCCAGGUGCCGCCUGUCCGCCCCAGUGGUGAGUACGUGGCGCGCAUUUGGCCCUUUCAAGGGGAGCGUAUCUGCACUUUAUUGUGUGGUGCGGGAUCCUUGACUUUUACUUUGAGGAAAUAGGAGUGUUCCAAGCAGGCUCUCGUCGUGCACAGCUCAGCAUGGAAUAAUGGAAUAGGACCUCGGUUCUAUUUUGUUGGUUUUCGGAAGUCGAGGUAAUGAUUAAGAGGGACAGACGGGGGCAUUCGUACUGGGCCGCCAGAGGUGAAAUUCUUUAACUGGCUCAUGACGAACCACUGCGAAAGCAUUUGCCAAGAAUGUUUUCAUUAAUCAAGAACGAAAGUCAGAGGGUCGAAGAUGAUCAGAUACCA
rnacentral:rRNA from 1 species